GAUGAACGCUGGCGGCGUGCCUAAUACAUGCAAGUCGAGCGAACGGACGAGGAGCUUGCUCCUCUGACGUUAGCGGCGGACGGGUGAGUAACACGUGGAUAACCUACCUAUAAGACUGGGAUAACUUCGGGAAACCGGAGCUAAUACCGGAUAAUAUAUUGAACCGCAUGGUUCAAUAGUGAAAGACGGUUUUGCUGUCACUUAUAGAUGGAUCCGCGCUGCAUUAGCUAGUUGGUAAGGUAACGGCUUACCAAGGCAACGAUGCGUAGCCGACCUGAGAGGGUGAUCGGCCACACUGGAACUGAGACACGGUCCAGACUCCUACGGGAGGCAGCAGUAGGGAAUCUUCCGCAAAGGGCGAAAGCCUGACGGAGCAACGCCGCGUGAGUGAUGAAGGUCUUCGGAUCGUAAAACUCUGUUAUUAGGGAAGAACAAAUGUGUAAGUAACUAUGCACGUCUUGACGGUACCUAAUCAGAAAGCCACGGCUAACUACGUG
rnacentral:rRNA from 1 species